rnacentral:rRNA from 1 species
UGGGGAAUAUUGGACAAUGGGGGCAACCCUGAUCCAGCGAUGCCGCGUGAGUGAAGAAGGCCUUCGGGUCGUAAAGCUCUUUAGGUUGGGAAGAAGGUUGUGUGAGGAAAUGCAUGCAACUUGACGGUACCGACAGAAUAAGCACCGGCAAACUCUGUGCCAGCAGCCGCGGUAAUACAGAGGGUGCAAGCGUUAAUCGGAUUUACUGGGCGUAAAGGGUGCGUAGGCGGAAAGGUGUGUGUGAUGUGAAAGCCCCGGGCUUAACCUGGGAAGUGCAUCGCAAACUACCUAACUAGAGUAGGUGAGAGGGUGGCGGAAUUUCCGGUGUAGCGGUGAAAUGCGUAGAGAUCGGAAGGAACGUCAAUGGCGAAGGCAGCCACCUGGCAUCAUACUGACGCUG